rnacentral:ncRNA from 1 species
UUAAAGUUUUAUUCUGGUUUUUGUAUUAGAUAAAUUUAUUUAGUUAUAUGAAAACAUUAAUGUGAUUUUAUUAUUAUUUAAAUAGUAAUAAUAAAACUAAUAAAAUCUCAGUAAUUAGUAUUAACUAUUGGGGAGACCCAGAUUUAGAAAUAAAUUUUAGCAUUAUCUAAGUUUGUGCCAGCAGUUGCGGUUACACCAACAAUGCGAUUUAAUAUUUUUAGUUACAAUUAAUUUUAAUAUUUAAAACUUUAAUUUUAAGUUUAUUGGGUGAAAUUUUAAAUUUAUUAAAAAGUUGAAAUUAGUUAAUGAAGUUGAGAAAUCUAUAUAUUAAACUAGGAUUAGAUACCCUAUUAUUAUAGAUGUGAAUUUUAUAAUGCUAAAUUAGUACAAGUUAUGCUCUUAAAAGUUAAAGAAUUUGGCGGUAUUUUAGUCUCUUCAGAGGAACCUGCCCUAUAAUUGAUGAUCCACGAUUUAUUCUACCAAUAUUAUUAAUUUGUAUAUCGUCGUAAUUUAAAUAUUUUAGGAGAAUAGAUAAUAUUUAAAAUUUUUUUAAAAAGAAUAAUUCAGAUCAAGAUGCAGUCUAUAUAUUGGAAGAGGUGGGUUACAAUAAAUUUAUUUAUGGAUAGGUAGUUGAAAAUUAUCUUGAAAUUGGAUUUGAAAGUAAUUAUAUAUAAAUAUGUAUGAUGAUUUUAGCUCUAAAAUAUGUACAUAUCGCCCGUCACUUUCACUACAAAGUGAAACAAGUCGUAACAUAGUAGUCUUACUGGAAAGUGAGGCUGGAUUGAU